AGUGAACGCUGGCGGUAGGCCUAACACAUGCAAGUCGAACGGCAGCACAGUAAGAGCUUGCUCUUACGGGUGGCGAGUGGCGGACGGGUGAGGAAUACAUCGGAAUCUACUUUUUCGUGGGGGAUAACGUAGGGAAACUUACGCUAAUACCGCAUACGACCUACGGGUGAAAGCAGGGGAUCUUCGGGCCUUGCGCGAUUGAAUGAGCCGAUGUCGGAUUAGCUAGUUGGCGGGGUAAAGGCCCACCAAGGCGACGAUCCGCAGCUGGUCUGAGAGGAUGAUCAGCCACACUGGAACUGAGACACGGUCCAGACUCCUACGGGAGGCAGCAGUGGGGAAUAUUGGACAAUGGGCGCAAGCCUGAUCCAGCCAUACCGCGUGGGUGAAGAAGGCCUUCGGGUUGUAAAGCCCUUUUGUUGGGAAAGAAAAGCAGCAGGUUAAUACCCCGCUGUUCUGACGGUACCCAAAGAAUAAGCACCGGCUAACUUCGUG
rnacentral:rRNA from 1 species